AUUGAACGCUGGCGGCAUGCCUUACACAUGCAAGUCGAACGGCAGCGGACCUUCGGGUGCCGGCGAGUGGCGAACGGGUGAGUAAUAUAUCGGAACGUACCUUUCAGUGGGGGAUAACGUAGCCGAAAGUUACGCUAAUACCGCAUAUUCUGUGAGCAGGAAAGCACGGGGAUCGCAAGACCCUUGCGCUGAUUGAGCGGCCGAUAUCAAGAUUAGCUAGUUGGUGAGGUAAAGGCUCACCAAGGCGACGAUCUGUAGCGGGUCUGAGAGGAUGAUCCGCCACACUGGAACUGAGACACGGUCCAGACUCCUACGGGAGGCAGCAGUGGGGAAUUUUGGACAAUGGGCGCAAGCCUGAUCCAGCCAUGCCGCGUGAGUGAAGAAGGCCUCGG
rnacentral:rRNA from 1 species